UACGUAGGGGGCGAGCGUUGUCCGGAUUUACUGGGCAUAAAGAGCGCGUAGGCGGAAAUUUAAGCGUGGCCUGAAAGCCCCCGGCUCAACCGGGGAGUGCGGCUGCGAACUGGAUUUCUUGAGGACGAUAGAGGAGAGUGGAAUUCCUGGUGUAGCGGUGAAAUGCGUAGAUAUCAGGAGGAACACCCGAGGCGAAGGCGGCUCUCUGGGUCGUACCUGACGCUGAGGCGCGAAAGCGUGGGGAGCGAACGGG
rnacentral:rRNA from 1 species